rnacentral:rRNA from 1 species
ACGCUGGCGGCGUGCCUAACACAUGCAAGUCGAACGAGAUCCAUGGGAGCUUGCUCCCGGAAGAUCUAGUGGCGAACGGGUGAGUAACACGUGAGAAACCUGCCUGGAGUGGGAAUAACUCGGGGAAACUCGAGCUAAUACCGCAUACCCUCGGAUGGUCGCAUGGCCGACCGAGGAAAGAUUUAUCGCUCUAGGAGGGUCUCGCGGCCUAUCAGCUAGUUGGUGGGGUAACGGCCUACCAAGGCAACGACGGGUAGCUGGUUUGAGAGAACGAUCAGCCACACUGGGACUGAGACACGGCCCAGACUCCUACGGGAGGCAGCAGUGGGGAAUCUUGCGCAAUGGGCGAAAGCCUGACGCAGCAACGCCGCGUGCGGGAUGACGGCCUUCGUGGUUGUAAACCGCUUUCAGCAGGGACGAAAAUGACGGUACCUGCAGAAGAAGCCCCGGCUAACUACGUG